rnacentral:lncRNA from 1 species
UUUGUCCUGAGUGUUAGCGAGGGGUAAAAUAAAUGAAUAUCAUCGCCAAGGCCAUAUGUAAAUUAACUAAAAUAAUCAGAAUCAGUUUUUCUUUUUUUUUUUUUGGUCGGCAAAUCGUGAAUAACACAAGGCGCGAAAUUUCCUGGUUUACAGAAUAUGAGACCAGCGUUGAAAAUCCAAAAGUCGCACAGCUCAAUAUUGGUCAGAGGGAUGUUUUUAAAUAGAAUUAAACACUUUUUUCUAGAGGUAGAUGAUGUGUAAAUUUGGGCGAUUAACCCACAAACUGGAUAAAAGUACGAACUAAUCAGAAAAAGGCUAAAUUACUGUUUAUAAAAUGCUCCAGUAUUUAAUAAAAUUAGAGAAG